rnacentral:lncRNA from 1 species
ACAACUUGAGAUGUCUUUCAGUGAUGAAUCAGAACCACAUAGAGAUCAUGUUUUCAAUAGACUCAAUCGCCUCUUUUCUCCACAGGGCACUAGAACGAUUCAUAUUCGCUCGCUGCACGUACAUGUAUGGAGGAAAAGCACUUGUGGUUUAGGCCUCACAUGACGUAGCUUGUAUUAGAACUUAGCCGGACCAAAUAGCAACAAUUGCUUGAGUAUUAGUUGAUCUAGCAAUUGCUAGAGUAUUAGUUGAUCUUACAAUAGCUAGAACUUGUCGUUUUCAAGAGCUUGUAUUAUUAGUUGCUUGUGUUAUUACUAGCUAGAACUUAGCACAACUGCAUUUCCACACAUAUAUUAGAUAAUAUUAUUUCUUGGGACAAGUAAAUAUGUAAGCCAAUUUGACUAGGCUGGAAAAUUAAGGAGCAGGUAAAAGAGGAGGUUUUUGACACGCUGCCUUGCAAUCAUUCAUACUCCAGUAGCAGCUGUCAGCUUCUGCCAAACAACAGAAGCAAUCUUCUUUAUCACCCUUGCAUCGCUUCCUGGCGCAUAGCCCGUUUGGUAAAUUGAUCUUCUCGCUAUCCGUGGCAUCUAUGAUUCGGCCUAGGGGAUAACAAGCCAACAUUUGUUAUGUGAAAAGAAAAUUUGUGAAGAAUAAAUAAAGGCACAACAGAUUAGACAAUAAACAAAUGAAAAAGGUCCUUAGUGCGGGAGAACUGAAAAAAAUUAACAGUGCAUAAGCAAAUGGUGUGCUUACAGUGAGCAACAGUAGCAGAGCAUACGAGAUACAGAGAGAAUAGGGCUGCUAGUGCCAGGAUGUGAAUCGUGUGCUUGUCCAUACCCCGGCCGAUACAGCACUUGCUAAUUAAGCAAUAUUUAUUUGUUCU